GACGAACGCUGGCGGCGUGCUUAACACAUGCAAGUCGAACGGAAAGGCCCUGCUUUUGUGGGGUGCUCGAGUGGCGAACGGGUGAGUAACACGUGAGUAACCUGCCCUUGACUUUGGGAUAACUUCAGGAAACUGGGGCUAAUACCGGAUAGGAGCUCCUGCUGCAUGGUGGGGGUUGGAAAGUUUCGGCGGUUGGGGAUGGACUCGCGGCUUAUCAGCUUGUUGGUGGGGUAGUGGCUUACCAAGGCUUUGACGGGUAGCCGGCCUGGGAGGGUGACCGGCCACAUUGGGACUGAGAUACGGCCCAGACUCCUACGGGAGGCAGCAGUGGGGAAUAUUGCACAGUGGGCGGAAGCCUGAUGCAGCAACGCCGCGUGCGGGAUGACGUCCUUCGGGUUGUAAACCGCUUUCGCCUGUGACGAAGCGUGAGUGACGGUAAUGGGUAAAGAAGCACCGGCUAACUACGUG
rnacentral:rRNA from 1 species